rnacentral:rRNA from 1 species
GAUGAACGCUGACCGAAUGCUUAACACAUGCAAGUCGAUGGGGAAGUGGUGCUUGCACCAUGGCAACCAUGGCGGACGGGUGAGUAACGCGUAAGGGACUUACCUGCAGGACUGGGAUAACAGGGGGAAACUCCUGACAAGACCGGAUAAUGUCAUGGAGCUGCAUGGCUUUAUGAUGAAAGGAGACGCCUGCGGAGAGCCUUGCGUCCUAUUAGCUAGUUGGUGAGGUAAUGGCUCACCAAGGCGAAGAUAGGUAGCCGGCCUGAGAGGGUGGACGGCCACAAGGGGACUGAGAUACGGCCCUUACUCCUACGGGAGGCAGCAGUGGGGAAUAUUGGACAAUGGGGGCAACCCUGAUCCAGCAAUUCUGUGUGCACGAAGAAGGUUUUCGGAUUGUAAAGUGCUUUCAGCAGGGAAGAAGUAAGUGACGGUACCUGCAGAAGAAGCGACGGCUAAAUACGUG